UGUCACUCAAACACCCACUCUUCCGUAUGUGUUGUAAGUGAAGCCAGAUAUGCUGCAGCGUAGAGUCAGCAUGAGAAGCAGACACCCGAGGAGAGAUAUCAUUUUGAAGGACAUGGCAUUUAUGAGUUGAGAUUAUUACUAAAUGUAAUGAGGAAGACGGGCAAAUACGAGGCCACAACAGAAUAAGGCUCUGCACUGAAGCAGACCUGAUGCUUGCCAAAAAUAUGUUAGGAAAGAUAUCUCCUCAACACCAGCUUGAGAUAGACACCUGUCACGCUAUCAGCCUGAGAUAAGAUGUGCUGACACGGACUGAGAUAAACAUGUUAGAGACACACUCGAAAUGGCCCAUAAAACCGAGGCCUUUCUGAACAUUCAUUGGAACCAACACUCGCUGCCGGAGGGUCCCACAAUUGGGACCCUUGCUCCUCGCAGCCCUGAG